CCCUUAGAUGUUCUGGGCCGCACGCGCGCUACACUGAUGCAUUUAACGAGUUUCUUCCUGGUCCGAGAGGAAUGGGUAACCUUUUGAAAGUGCAUCGUGAUAGGGAUAGACUAUUGCAAUUAUUGGUCUUCAACGAGGAAUUCCUAGUAGACGUAGUUCAUCAGACUGCAUCGAUUACGUCCCUGCCCUUUGUACACACCGCCCGUCGCUCCUACCGAUUGAAUGCUCAGGUGAGCCAUUCGGACUUUCAUCAUGCUGGUUUCCAGUUUUGAUGAAGGAAAGUCUUGCGAACCUUAUCAUUUAGAGGAAGGAGAAGUCGUAACA
rnacentral:rRNA from 1 species